GGAAAUCAAAGCCAGUGUGAAACUGGUCUGAAACUGGACACAUGAUGGUUUAAAUCAGGAAGGAUCUGAUCACAGGAUCAAUCAGCGUGAUUCUGGAUCUGACCAAACAUCUGCUGUGAACCUUCAGGACUUUUUCUCAGAGUUACCGUCACGGAGCUACAUGGAACAGAUGUCACAUGAGCGUAAGCUGCCGUCUGCUGGGAGAGUUUUUAUCUGACGUUUCAAAGAAAAUCCAGAAGCAGCGAUACAGACUGUGAACAGCAGCUCGUUGACAGCAAACGCAGCCCAGACUGAGGAGCUGUGAGAAUCAGUGGUUAUCAGCCCCAUAGAUAUGGGUCAGAAGGGCCCUACUGCACCUACUGGAAGGUUCAGAAGGCCGUUAUCAUCCAUUCACACGGUUAAUCACCGAUACUAAUAGAAGAGAAGACUCCAGAUCCUGUCCAACAGGAAUCUGCUGGUUAACGGGAUAUUUUCAGCUUAGACCGUUUAAACGCUGAUUAACUAGCCAAUAUGCCAAAGUAACACAGAAAAAAUAGUUGUUGACAAGAAAUAACCGUCUUGCUGUUGCGUUUGCUUUACAUUAUUAGCAUGUAUGUUAGCAUUACUAAUCAUUAGCAUGUUUUACGUGACAGCUUGAAAUUAGCUUCAACGUUAGCCUGUAAAAAUGACAUUUUCCACACUGUAAGAUUGUAAAUUAGACAUGUUGCAUAGCUUAUAAUCUGUAUCUGCUCUUCACUGAAGCUAUUUCACGCUCAUAUUGAGUAAAAUAUUCAAAGCCAAACUUUAUGGCCGGUAGCAUUAACGUUAGGCUACAUGCAAUGGAAAAGUCCGGAGAAUCAUUUUAAAUAACGUUACAUGUAACUAAUUCAACCUGACAUGUUUGGUCUCUUUGAAAACCUUGGGAUCUUGACUAGAAGGUAAAAUAAGUUCAUGAGGAGCUCAAUCGGGCUGCACCUGUCACCUGUGAGUGUUAGAAGCUUACAAUCAUAUUCACAUUCAUACAAAAGAGGAAUCCUGCCAGUUUAUUAGAAAGACCUGAGCUCGUAUGUGCUGAUAUUAGGGCUGUGGUGUCUCAGUUGUUUAUUUGGAAGUGAGCAGUGAGGUAGGCUAACAUAAACAUGCAUUGCUGUCCUCAACACAGAACCUGAAAAUAAAACCCAAAGCCACAGGUGUGUGUGUGUGUAAUAUUUCUUUAGGCCCACCUAAUUUUUUACGUCUCCUUUUCCAGCAUCACUUACCAGUUGUGUCUUGUGUGGUUGAAGAUGGCCCAUAGAGCGACAAGCCUUUUGUUUGUUAUUUAACAAGAGAGAACGCAGAUCCUCGACGAGCAAAGGGAAACGUUGAAAUCCUUUUUUAAGGAGGGAAUGAAACAUGUUGGCUCACCGUUAAUUCCAAGAGCUGCAUCAGCUACUGGUUUGGAAACCUGUGUCAUAGAAAACUGGAUCGGUAACUACAAAAGGUCCAAAGCUGCUUCUGAGCCCAAAACAGACACAAGAGAACUGUCACCAUACAAUCUUUU